rnacentral:rRNA from 1 species
AGGACGAACGCUGGCGGCGUGCCUAACACAUGCAAGUCGAACGGAGCUGUUAUGGAAAUUCCUUCGGGGAUGGAAGUUUCAGCUUAGUGGCGAACGGGUGAGUAACGCGUGAGCAACCUGCCUUUCAGUGGGGGGACAACAGUUGGAAACGACUGCUAAUACCGCAUGAUGUCAUCGAGGGACAUCCCUUGAUGACCAAAGCUUUAUGUGCUGAAAGAUGGGCUCGCGUCUGAUUAGCUAGAUGGCGGGGUAACGGCCCACCAUGGCGACGAUCAGUAGCCGGUCUGAGAGGAUGAACGGCCACAUUGGGACUGAGAUACGGCCCAGACUCCUACGGGAGGCAGCAGUGGGGAAUAUUGGGCAAUGGGGGAAACCCUGACCCAGCAACGCCGCGUGAAGGAAGAAGGCCUUCGGGUUGUAAACUUCUUUUACCAGGGACGAAGAACGUGACGGUACCUGGAGAAAAAGCAACGGCUAACUACGUG